rnacentral:rRNA from 1 species
GAUGAACGCUGGCAGAAUGCUUAACACAUCAGCAAUUGAUUGGUGGCGGACGGGUGAGUAACGCGUAAAGAACUUACCUCACAGUUAGGGACAACAUUUGGAAACGAAUGCUAAUACCUAAUACUGUGAGAGAGCUUUACGUCCCAUUAGCUAGUUGGAGAGGUAACGGCUCACUAAGGCGAUGAUGGGUAGCCGGCCUGAGGGGGGGAUCGGCCACAAGGGGACAGAGACAACGCCCUUACACCUACGGGAGGCAGCAGCGGGGAAUAUUGGACAAUGGACCAAAGUCUGAGACAGAACUUCUGUGUGCACGAUGAAGUUUUCGGAAUGUAAAGUGCUUUCAGUUGGGAAGCGGUACCAACAGAAGAAGUGACGGCUAAAUACGUGCCAGCAGCCGCGGUAAUAC